rnacentral:rRNA from 1 species
UACGUAGGUGGCAAGCGUUGUCCGGAUUUACUGGGCGUAAAGAGCGCGCAGGCGGUCAGAUAAGUCGAAUGUGAAAGCCCCCGGCUCAACUGGGGAGGGUCAUUCGAUACUGUUCGACUCGAAGGCAGGAGAGGGAAGUGGAAUUCCCGGUGUAGUGGUGAAAUGCGCAGAUAUCUGGAGGAAUACCGGUGGCGAAGGCGGCAUCCUGGACCGGCAUUGACGCUGAGGAGCGAAAGCUAGGGGAGCAAACGGG